rnacentral:rRNA from 1 species
GACGAACGCUGGCGGCGUGCUUAAGACAUGCAAGUCGAACGGAGAUACUCAUGAAGCUUGCGAUUGAGUAUCUUAGUGGCGGACGGGUGAGUAACGCGUGGAUGACCUACCUAUAUGUGGGGGAUAACAGUUGGAAACGACUGCUAAUACCGCAUGUGAUCACAAUUAUAAAGGUUGUGAGGAAAGAUGGCCUCUGUUUACAAGCUGUCGCAUAUAGAUGGGUCCGCGUCUGAUUAGCUAGUUGGUAGGGUAAAGGCCUACCAAGGCGACGAUCAGUAGCCGGCCUGAGAGGGUGGACGGCCACACUGGGACUGAGACACGGCCCAGACUCCUACGGGAGGCAGCAGUGGGGAAUAUUGCGCAAUGGGGGAAACCCUGACGCAGCGACGCCGCGUGAGCGAAGAAGGCCUUAGGGUUGUAAAGCUCUGUUGUAAGGGAGAAAGGCAACCGGAGUAAUAUGCUGGUUGUAUGACGGUACCUUACGAGGAAGCCCCGGA